UUUGAUCCUGGCUCAGGACGAACGCUGGCGGCGUGCCUAAUACAUGCAAGUCGAGCGGACAGAUGGGAGCUUGCUCCCUGAUGUUAGCGGCGGACGGGUGAGUAACACGUGGGUAACCUGCCUGUAAGACUGGGAUAACUCCGGGAAACCGGGGCUAAUACCGGAUGCUUGUUUGAACCGCAUGGUUCAAACAUAAAAGGUGGCUUCGGCUACCACUUACAGAUGGACCCGCGGCGCAUUAGCUAGUUGGUGAGGUAACGGCUCACCAAGGCAACGAUGCGUAGCCGACCUGAGAGGGUGAUCGGCCACACUGGGACUGAGACACGGCCCAGACUCCUACGGGAGGCAGCAGUAGGGAAUCUUCCGCAAUGGACGAAAGUCUGACGGAGCAACGCCGCGUGAGUGAUGAAGGUUUUCGGAUCGUAAAGCUCUGUUGUUAGGGAAGAACAAGUACCGUUCGAAUAGGGCGGUACCUUGACGGUACCUAACCAGAAAGCCACGGCUAACUACGUGCCAGCAGCCGCGGUAAUACGUAGGUGGCAAGCGUUGUCCGGAAUUAUUGGGCGUAAAGGGCUCGCAGGCGGUUCCUUAAGUCUGAUGUGAAAGCCCCCGGCUCAACCGGGGAGGGUCAUUGGAAACUGGGGAACUUGAGUGCAGAAGAGGAGAGUGGAAUUCCACGUGUAGCGGUGAAAUGCGUAGAGAUGUGGAGGAACACCAGUGGCGAAGGCGACUNUNUGGUCUGUAAC
rnacentral:rRNA from 1 species